AAAUAGGAAGUAAAUUUUACAUUUAGUUUCGACCUAAAAAUUUGGCAACCAUGCCCCUAUUUA
rnacentral:tRNA from 1 species